rnacentral:rRNA from 1 species
AUUGAACGCUGGCGGCAUGCUUUACACAUGCAAGUCGAACGGUAACAGGCCUUCGGGUGCUGACGAGUGGCGAACGGGUGCGUAAUGCAUCGGAACGUGCCCAGAGGCGGGGGAUAACGCAGCGAAAGCUGUGCUAAUACCGCAUGUGAUCUGAGGAUGAAAGCGGGGGACCAGGCAGCAAUGUUUGGCCUCGCGCCUUUGGAGCGGCCGAUGUCAGAUUAGGUAGUUGGUGGGGUAAAGGCCUACCAAGCCGACGAUCUGUAGCUGGUCUGAGAGGACGACCAGCCACACUGGGACUGAGACACGGCCCAGACUCCUACGGGAGGCAGCAGUGGGGUAUUUUGGACAAUGGGCGCAAGCCUGAUCCAGCAAUGCCGCGUGCGGGAAGAAGGCCUUCGGGUUGUAAACCGCUUUUGUACGGAACGAAAAGGCUCUGGCUAAUACCUGGGGCUGAUGACGGUACCGUAAGAAUAAGCACCGGCUAACUACGUG